GGGGAUUUAGCUCAGUGGUAAAGCGCUUGCCUAGCAAGCACAAGGCCCUGGGUUCAGUCCCCAGCUCCU
rnacentral:tRNA from 1 species